rnacentral:rRNA from 1 species
AGGACGAACGCUGGCGGCGUGCUUAACACAUGCAAGUCGAGCGAGGCCCUCCCUUCGGGGAGGUGUCCUAGCGGCGAACGGGUGAGUAACACGUGGGCAACCUGCCCUCAGCUCUGGGAUAACCCCGGGAAACCGGAGCUAAUACCGGAUACGACCUCGGAAGACAUCUUCCGAGGUGGAAAGAAUUUCGGCUGAGGAUGGGCCCGCGGCCUAUCAGCUUGUUGGUGGGGUAACGCCCACCAAGGCGACGACGGGUA